rnacentral:rRNA from 1 species
AGUGAACGCUGGCGGUAGGCCUAACACAUGCAAGUCGAACGGCAGCACAGUAAGAGCUUGCUCUUACGGGUGGCGAGUGGCGGACGGGUGAGGAAUACAUCGGAAUCUACUUUUUCGUGGGGGAUAACGUAGGGAAACUUACGCUAAUACCGCAUACGACCUACGGGUGAAAGCAGGGGAUCUUCGGACCUUGCGCGAUUGAAUGAGCCGAUGUCGGAUUAGCUAGUUGGCGGGGUAAAGGCCCACCAAGGCGACGAUCCGUAGCUGGUCUGAGAGGAUGAUCAGCCACACUGGAACUAAGACACGGUCCAGACUCCUACGGGAGGCAGCAGUGGGGAAUAUUGGACAACGGGCGCAAGCCUGAUCCAGCCAUACCGCGUGGGUGAAGAAGGCCUUCGGGUUGUAAAGCCCUUUUGUUGGGAAAGAAAAGCAGCAGGUUAAUACCCCGCUGUUCUGACGGUACCCAAAGAAUAAGCACCGGCUAACUUCGUG